UACGUAGGGUGCAAGCGUUGUCCGGAAUUAUUGGGCGUAAAGAGCUCGUAGGCGGUCAGCACAAGUCAGUUGUGAAAUCUCCGGGCUUAACUCGGAAAGGUCAACUGAUACUGUGCGACUAGAGUGCGGAAGGGGCAACUGGAAUUCUCGGUGUAGCGGUGAAAUGCGCAGAUAUCAGGAAGAACACCCGUGGCGAAAGCGGCUCUCUGGAACGGUACUGACGCUGAGACGCGAAAGCGUGGGGAGCGAACAGG
rnacentral:rRNA from 1 species